AUGAAAGUACGUUUUCACCUUCGGGAGACAGGGAGACAGGUGGUGCAUGGUUGUCGUCAGCUCGUGUCGUGAGAUGUUGGGUUAAGUCCCGCAACGAGCGCAACCCCUACGUUUAGUUGCUAACGCGUGAAGGCGAGCACUCUAGACGAACUGCCGUUGACAAAACGGAGGAAGGUGGGAUGACGUCAAUCAUCAUGCCCCUUAUGUUCUGGGCUACACACGUGCUACAAUGGCCGGUACAGACGGACGCAAAGCCGCGAGGCGGAGCAAAUCCGAAAAAGCCGGUCUCAGUUCGGAUUGCAGGCUGCAAUUCGCCUGCAUGAAGUCGGAAUCGCUAGUAAUCGCAGGUCAGCAUACUGCGGUGAAUACGUUCCCGGCCUU
rnacentral:rRNA from 1 species